rnacentral:rRNA from 1 species
UACGGAGGGGGCUAGCGUUGUUCGGAAUUACUGGGCGUAAAGCGCACGUAGGCGGUUUUGCAAGUCAGAGGUGAAAGCCCGGGGCUCAACCCCGGAAUUGCCUUUGAGACUGCAUCGCUAGAAUUGUGGAGAGGUAAGUGGAAUUCCGAGUGUAGAGGUGAAAUUCGUAGAUAUUCGGAAGAACACCAGUGGCGAAGGCGACUUACUGGACACAUAUUGACGCUGAGGUGCGAAAGCGUGGGGAGCAAACAGG